AUGCCCCCCUACCUGGAGCAGAGAACUUGGGGCCCAUUCCUCAUGUUUUCCUGGCGGACAAGGCAUUCCCCUUGCGGAGAAAUCUCCUUCGCCCCUACCCUGGGCACACUCACGGGGAAAAGCGUGUUUUUAAUUACCGCCUCUCUCACGACAGGAGAAUGGUGGAGUGUACCUUCGGCAUCCUUGCGGCCCAAUGGAGGAUAUACCGGAGGGUGCUUGGUGUGUCACCACAGGCAAUUCCUGAUGACAGUGAGGCAGGCCCUAGUCAGUCAAGAAAGAGACUGCAUGAGGAAGGAGAGAAAGAAGGAAUACAGACAAAAGAAGCAGGGACAGAACAAGGAGGGAAAGGAGGAAUACAGACAGAAGAAGGGGACAUCCACAGUAGAAAAAGACAGCAUGAGGAAGGAGAGAAAGAAGGAAUGCAGACAGAAGAAGGGGACAGCCACAGUAGAAAAAGACAGCAUGAGGAAGGAGAGAAAGAAGGAAUACAGACAGAAGAAGCAGGGACAGAACAAGGAGGGAAAGAAGGAAUACAGACAGAAGAAGGGGACAGCCACAGUAGAAAAAGACAGCAUGAGGAAGGAGAGAAAGAAGGAAUCCAGACAGAAGAAGCAGGGACAGAACAAGGAGGGAAAGAAGGAAUACAGACAGAAGAAAGGGACAGCCACAGUAGAAAAAGACAGCAUGAGGAAGGAGAGAAAGAAGGAAUACAGACAGAAGAAGCAGGGACAGAACAUGGAGGGAAAGAAGGAAUACAGACAGAUGAAGGGACAGCCACAGUAGAAAAAGACAGCAUGAGGAAGGAGAGAAAGAAGGAAUACAGACAGAAGAAGCAGGGACAGAACAAGGAGGGACAGGAGGUGACACAGAUGGAAAGGAAGUUGACAUGAUAAUGACAUAUACAAAGCCAAAUCAACCUGACCCUAAAGUUUUUCAAAAACAAGUGCUCAAAGACCGGACACUGACAUUCCAAAAAGCAUGGUAUGAGAAGUUUCCCUGGCUUCAUGUUAGUAUGUGUACUGAUGGUGUUCUGUGUUUUCACUGCUCUAAAUACUUUAAGACAGGGAAACCAGCACAGGCCAAGAGUAUAGACCCAGCCUUUGUCAAUGCUGGAUUUAAAAACUGGAAAAAAGCACUUGAAAGAUGUUCCAUGCAUGAGAAAUCAGAUGGUCACAAACUGGCUGUUACAACUGCUGCAUAUGAAAACAGGCCAGUUACUACACAGUUGAGCAGUGCAGUCAGUACACAACAGGCAGAAAACAGAACUAGCCUGUUAAAAAUAAUAGGAGCUGAGAUGUUUCUGGCGAGGCAGGGAUUGGCCUUUAGAAGGCAUGGACAUCAUCAAGGUAACCUUGACCAGCUUCUGAAAUACAAAGCUGUAGAUGAUCAGUCAUUCAGUAGCUGGUGUGGCAUCCCGCCCCUGAAGCCUCGGCCUGAACGGUCCCGUGGGACCGUGAAGGACGGGGUGUACCACCCCCACCCACCAGCCGGCGACGGAGAGCACCGGGUCCUUCCCCCCAAUCAGGGUGAUUGGGGGACACCUGGCCGAAAACAGAGGAGCCAUUUUAAGUGGAGGUCCAGACCAAGAGCACGGCAGAGGCAGAGACACGCAUGGACUGCAGAGGCUUGAGGCUCACGGAGACCCAAGCGCACCCUUAUCCUGUCUUUGAUAAUUGCAAUAAACACCGAAGUCGGCUUAAACCAACCGUUGCCACGUGCUUUCCUGAAUCACGGCACAUUCUCCAAGCCGGAUACCACAUAUGGUGGAGCAUGCAGACAUUCUGAGCGUU
rnacentral:lncRNA from 1 species